rnacentral:rRNA from 1 species
GACGAACGCUGGCGGCGCGCUUAACACAUGCAAGUCGAGCGAGAUCCAGGCCUUCGGGCCUGGGGACAGGGGCGAACGGGUGAGUAACACGUGGGUAAUCAACCCUCGACACUGGGAGAGCCUGGGGAAACCCGGAUUAAUCCCGGAUGGCCCUUUGGAUCUUCGGAUCUGACGGGAAAGGUAGCUUCGGCCCCCGGUCGAGGUCGAGCCCGCGGCGGAUGAGCUAGUUGGUGGGGUAACGGCGCUCCAAGGCGACGAUCCGUAGCUGGUCUGAGAGGACGAUCAGCCAAACUGGAACGGGGACACGGCCCAGACUCCUACGGGAGGCAGCAGUGGGGAAUAUUGCGCUAAUGCGGGAAACCGGAACGCGGCGACGCGGCGGGAUGAAGGAAGGCCUUCGGGUUGAAAACCUCUUUCAGGAGGGACGAAGCCACACGGUUAAAUAGCCCAGAGGGUGACGGUACCUCCAGAAGAAGCCCCGGCUAACUACGUGCCAGCCGCCGCGGUAA